CUACGUGCCAGCAGCCGCGGUAAUACGUAGGUCCCGAGCGUUGUCCGGAUUCAUUGGGCGUAAAGCGCUCGUAGGCGGUCUGUUAGGUCGGGAGUUAAAUCCGGGGGCUCAACCCCCGUUCGCUCCCGAUACCGGCAGACUUGAGUUUGGUAGGGGAAGGUGGAAUUCCUAGUGUAGCGGUGGAAUGCGCAGAUAUUAGGAAGAACACCAGUGGCGAAGGCGGCCUUCUGGGCCAUAACUGACGCUGAGGAGCGAAAGCUAGGGGAGCAAACAGGAUUAGAUACCCUGGUAGUCCUAGCCGUAAACGAUGGACACUAGGUGUGGGGGAAUAUUUCUUCCGUGCCGCAGCUAACGCAUUAAGUGUCCCGCCUGGGGAGUACGGCCGCAAGGCUAAAACUCAAAGGAAUUGACGGGGGCCCGCACAAGCAGCGGAGCAUGUGGUUUAAUUCGAAGCAACGCGAAGAACCUUACCAGGGCU
rnacentral:rRNA from 1 species